AUGUCUGGGAACUGCCUGAUGGAGGGGGAUAACUACUGGAAACGGUAGCUAAUACCGCAUAACGUCGCAAGACCAAAGAGGGGGACCUUCGGGCCUCUUGCCAUCGGAUGUGCCCAGAUGGGAUUAGCUWGUWGGUGGGGUAACGGCUCACCWAGGCGACGAUCCCUAGCUGGUCUGAGAGGAUGACCAGCCACACUGGAACUGAGACACGGUCCAGACUCCUACGGGAGGCAGCAGUGGGGAAUAUUGCACAAUGGGCGCAAGCCUGAUGCAGCCAUGCCGCGUGUAUGAAGAAGGCCUUCGGGUUGUAAAGUACUUUCAGCGGGGAGGAAGGGAGUAAAGUUAAUACCUUUGCUCAUUGACGUUACCCGCAGAAGAAGCACCGGCUAACUCCGUGCCAGCAGCCGCGGUAAUACGGAGGGUGCAAGCGUUAAUCGGAAUUACUGGGCGUAAAGCGCACGCAGGCGGUUUGUUAAGUCAGAUGUGAAAU
rnacentral:rRNA from 1 species